rnacentral:rRNA from 1 species
CAGCCGCCGCGGUAAUACGUAGGUGGCAAGCGUUGUCCAGAAUUAUUGGGCGUAAAGGGCUCGCAGGCGGUUUCUUAAGUCUGAUGUGAAAGCCCCCGGCUCAACCGGGGAGGGUCAUUGGAAACUGGGAAACUUGAGUGCAGAAGAGGAGAGUGGAAUUCCACGUGUAGCGGUGAAAUGCGUAGAGAUGUGGAGGAACACCAGUGGCGAAGGCGACUCUCUGGUCUGUAACUGACGCUGAGGAGCGACAGCGUGGGGAGCGAACAGGAUUAGAUACCCGAGUAGUCCCUGUCUCUUAUAC